rnacentral:rRNA from 1 species
CAUGUAGGCGGAGGUUCCAGGUAAAUCCGGUACCUUUUUAACGCUGAGGUGUGAUGACGAGGCACUACGGUGCUGAAGUAACAAAUGCCCUGCUUCCAGGAAAAGCCUCUAAGCAUCAGGUAACAUUGAAUCGUACCCCAAACCGACACAGGUGGUCAGGUAGAGAAUACCAAGGCGCUUGAGAGAACUCGGGCGAAGGAACUAGGCAAAAUGGUGCCGUAACUUCGGGAGAAGGCACGCUGAUAUGUAGGUGAA